rnacentral:rRNA from 1 species
UACGGAGGGUGCGAGCGUUGUCCGGAAUCAUUGGGCGUAAAGGGCGCGUAGGUGGCCCGGUCAGUUCGUGGUGAAAGCGCGGGGCUCAACCCUGCGUCGGCCAUGAAUACUGCCGCGGCUGGAGCACUGUAGAGGCAGGCGGAAUUCCUGGUGUAGCGGUGGAAUGCGCAGAUAUCAGGAGGAACACCAAUAGCGAAGGCAGCUCGCUGGGACGGUACUGACGCUGAGGUGCGAAAGCGUGGGGAGCAAACAGG